GUUCUAAAGAAAACGGAAGAAUAGUUUUUUGGAAACGUGGCUGCAAGAAAAAUAGCAAAUUUAAAUUAUAAAAGUUUGGUCGUCGUGUCAACUCUGCUGGUCGCUUCUCUUCAUAGAAUAUGAGCUAAAUACACACUCCAUGCUGUUUGGCAGAUCUCAGACGAGAGCCAGUCAUCAUAACUACAAGAUUAUAUGUAUUUUUACUUGUGCUUCAUGUCACCAGCACUCUCACAAGUCUUGUCAUCAGCAACAAUCUCACUAUAUCAUCGAUAAACAGCAUCCCUAUUGAUUGGCGAAACUACAGAUAUGUUGGUCGCAUUCUUCCCCUUUUCUUUGAAUCCCUUAGACUGUCCUCGUGUAUACCCAUGUGAGUGUGGGUGUAUUCAUGAAGUCAUUCUUUCCCCUAUACCCUGCCUGGUGGAUUCAACUCUUCUCUUCUACGGCCCAAUGAAGCACUUCAGGAUGCCUGGCUGUGGAUUUCCCAGGCUUAAAGGUUGACAGUUGACUGACUUGCUCACCGUCAGCAAACGAGAAGGUGCGGAGUCGACAAGGUGAGCUCGCGCGGGCCAAAUCUUCGAUGAAUAUCAUCGAAUGCCGUCCAACUGAUGCCAGCAACGGACCUCUUUUUCUUUUUAUUAUUAUCAGUUGUAUGUGUGUGUGUGUGUGAAUGCGAAAGGAAUCAGAAAAACGGAACACAAAUCUCUUUCUCUCGUUUAACUCGGAUAGAUUUUCUCCCUUUCCAAUUCGAUAAUAAUACGCGGCAGAGCCGGCCGCAGGCCGUAGAUACACACACACACACAGUACGUACGCUAUCUAGGGCCCCCUAUCUGAUGGGAUUCCUACGGCUAUAUGUAUAUCUUGAUGGAUGUGUACAACAAUCCGAUACGUGUUUUUACAGGCUGUGUUCAAGUCACUUUACUUUCUUUGACUUUCUUUUGCUGCUGCUGCCAGACGAGCGCGAGUUUAUCACUGGAGCGACCUCCAUACAAAACUGUACAGGUGCUGCUCAGACCCCUUUACAUGCAACUUGUUUGAACACAUAAACAUCCUUAGCAUGAGAUAUGUAUAGGGAUAAAUAAGCUCAAAAUUCUCUAAACUUUUUUAUCGCGUUUCGGCUGUGUGUAUCUGUAAUUUUUGAUUGCGAA